ACACGUAGGGGGCAAGCGUUGUUCGGAAUUACUGGGCGUAAAGGGCAUGUAGGCGGUUUUGUAAGCCUGACGUGAAAGGCUAUGGCUUAACCAUGGCACUGCGUUGGGAACUGCGAGACUUGAAUCACGGAGGGGGAGCUGGAAUUCCAGGUGUAGGGGUGAAAUCUGUAGAUAUCUGGAAGAACACCAGUGGCGAAGGCGGCUUCCUGGUCUGUAACUGACACUGAGGCGCG
rnacentral:rRNA from 1 species